rnacentral:rRNA from 1 species
UGGGGAAUAUUGGACAAUGGGCGCAAGCCUGAUCCAGCCAUGCCGCGUGAGUGAUGAAGGUCUUAGGAUUGUAAAGCUCUUUCACCGGUGAAGAUAAUGACGGUAGCCGGAGAAGAAGCCCCGGCUAACUUCGUGCCAGCAGCCGCGGUAAUACGAAGGGGGCUAGCGUUGUUCGGAUUUACUGGGCGUAAAGCGCACGUAGGCGGACUAAUAAGUCAGGGGUGAAAUCCCGGGGCUCAACCCCGGAACUGCCUUUGAUACUGUUAGUCUUGAGUAUGGAAGAGGUGAGUGGAAUUCCGAGUGUAGAGGUGAAAUUCGUAGAUAUUCGGAGGAACACCAGUGGCGAAGGCGGCUCACUUGGUCCAUUACUGACGCUGAGGUGCGAAAGCGUGGGGAGCAAACA